GUGUGUGUGUGUGUGUGUGUGUGUGUGUGUGUGUGUGCGUUCGUAAACACUGGCAACUGAGAGCCGACGUCAAGUUACACAGCAACAACUGAGAACACAAAAUUCAAGUGAGGACAAAAAUCUGGUCCUCAGUUGAAUUUCACCUUAGAAAUGCUUAAAAUCAUGCCAUAAACCAUAUAUGUGAAAAUUGGUGCAUGGACCAGUUGGAAGUAUUUUUCCGUUUUGUGUAUGCUGUGUGUGUAUAAUUAUCAGCCCGUCAGCAUGGCGGUAUACACACCACGAAGGGUAACACGCAUGCGCGGGUUAAAACGGAAGUUUACAUUCUAUCUGGAUCAUAUAAGCGCUUGAAAACAUACAGAUAUCAAGGACGAUCAAUGUCGCGUAAAAAGAUAAAGCAGCGUUCACGACCGCUGGUAGACUGCAAGCCCCGGAGGCUUCUACACCUCUAGAAAUUAAGCCCCACCCUCACCUGAGAUUUACCACCCGGUAAAAAUGUGCGCGGCCUUUAAGGACAGUCAAAUGUGUGGAAAACAGUAAACAAACAAAAAAAUGGAUGUGCUUUAGCAUAUUGAAAACCAUGUCAAGAAAAGAUCGAAAAAGAGUUAAUCCCAUUGAAGAGUCAAGGAAAUGGAGUGAAAAGAAUAUUGAUCCACCAGGAUUUAAUAUAAGUUUAUUUGAGAACAAAGGCAGAGGAGUCAGAACAACUGUCCGCAGAAAUGCAGGCGACUUUUUGUUAGUGUAUACAGGAAAGGUUAUAACAAAGAAGGAAGGUGAGAACUUGGAAGAAGGGUUCUCAUCUGGCUACAGAUUUUGUUUACAGAGAUUUGUGGUAAGUGUCUAGAUUCUCAUGAAAUACUUUUUUGUUUUCUUACGUACCUAAAUAUAUGGAUAUUGGUUUAAUGCCAGGCCAUGGCUUAAUCAAGUAUAGCUAAACAUAUUUGGCUGGUUUUAUGGUGGUAGUCAAGGGUUCCAGCAGUUGGAAAAUUCAACAUUCAAAGAUUUUAGAAAAGUGAACACCUAGCUUGUACUAAUUAUUUGUAUGGACUAAAUAAUGUUGUCACAGAGAUAGCUGUCAUUUCUCUUAUGGUAAUUAAUUUAAAACAUAUUUUUCCAUCACUGAAUCU